AUGAGUACACAAUCUUCUGUGGCUCAUCUCACAGAGUCAACAAUACAACUCGAAAUGCCUACAACCGUGACGAGGAGCCGUAGGGCUUCUACGUGAGCGCGAAGCGGGCAGAUAGCAUUGCCUUCUUUUGGCUGCCCUUCUGCUAUUGAUGACCGUUCUUCAGGGACUAUGGUGUCAGAUGGAGGGUAGAACCCCAUUCUGACCGGU